UAUAUGAGUGGUACGCAGAAAAUUCACAAAAACCAAAAGGCAGAUGAAUUUAGAGCAAAGCUUCCCAAAAUAACCACCUUGUUUGCAGACGACCUUGCCCCAGCUUCAAGGAAGACCGCAUUUUCUGCAGCACUUUUCUGAACAACAUGCCAAGACUGCACCCCCCUGGAGCCCUGCACCAACCCUCACUGCAUUGACAGCUCAGAGGCUGGUGAUGACCCACAACCCAUCGCCCAGCGUCUGCUCCACUACAUAUUUAUCCUUCUCUUCCUUCAGGGAGGGAGAGGAGGAAGGAGAGAGAGAGGAUUAGAGAAAGACAGAGCCCCCUCGCGCUGCGGCCCGCUGCCCUGGCAGCCGCUCGCCGUGGGAGGAUAGGCUUCAGAUUUAGAGCCGGAGCUGCAGACGUAAGAAAGCUCUGAUCCAUCCCUCUCCCCUCUCCCCUGCCUCCCACACCCAGCAGCACCUCAGCAGCCAAGAGCCUCUCAGUGCAGGGGAACACGCCGAAUGCGAGAGCCUGGAGCCGGGCCUGCGAUCAGGCUGCAACGUCCAGCUUACUACAACUCACCAGCACCUUCUCUCGCCAAGAGGUUUCGCAUCAAACCUGCGUUGGGACACAGUCUGCGUGAUGCAAUUUCCACCUGCCUGCGAGGGAGCAAUGCUGGCUAAAUCUAGUUAAACUCUGCGAGCAUGCAACCAAGCAGGCGUUUGGACGCAGGGACAGAAAGCGUGAAGGAUACCGAGUUAGCCCUUUCUGGCUGUCCGCACGUCUGCCGUUAUGUCUGGAAACCGAAUAUUUUAGCGCAUGUGAGCCUUUUAAGGAGGAGUUUUGGUUUGAGAAAACAUUAUUUGUGUGGAUUUGCUGGCCUGUUCUCUGAGUCCUUGUAGUUGGAGCUUCUCUUCACUGAAAACCCUGGGUGACACAGUCUAGUCCAUUUUCUUGUCAGCAACCCAAUUUUUAAAUGGAUUAUUUUUGCUACCUCAGCCAUUGUUAAAAUAUCUCCAAAAUUUUUGUGUUUUUCUGCCCUUGGGAGAGCAGCUCAUCAUUAUCAUUCAUGUUUGGGUGUUUGCUAAUUACUGUAGCUAAACUGCAAGUGUUGAAAAAAAAGUAAUUGCAGUUACGGAAUUAAUGGAUUGGCAGUGAUGGUGGCAUUAGUAGUUCAAGUUGGGAGGAAGGACACAUUCUGUGAAAAUCCAAAAAUGAGAAAAGGCUUUUUUUUUUUAAAUUCAUC